GAGAGAGAGGCAGAGCAUUGCCUGUUUUCUUACUCUCAGUUCCAGAAUGAUCUGAAGUCCCCCUGCAGUCUCGCUGUUGGGAUUUCUGACACCACUGUGUCUUCAUCAUCUACUCCUGCACUGACCAGAAGUUCUGUGUCCUGGCCAGGCCUGGUUCAUGCCUAUUAGCCAGACAUAACUGUCUAUUGUGCGCCAUUCACUCAAAGCGUACUGGUUUUGAUGGUGUUGUUACCUCCGUUCAUGCUAGCUGGGGUUGGUUUUUUGUUACUGUUGCACCAUUAUAUAUUUGUAGCUUGCACAGAAAUUUCCCUCCCCUCUCUUUUUCCUAAUGAAUUGCUUUCCUCUGAGAAUUUCUCCCUUUUCUGUGUGCUUACCACGAGCUCCUGUCAUCUAAACCAGAGAUCUGAGAAUUAACCUCGGCUCUUCUAUCUCCUUUGUCUCAUGAAUUUGUUUAUUCAUUCCUUAAAAAAUUCGAGUGUCUAUCAGUGAGUAAGCACGAUGCUAGUGACCUGGCAUAGAGUAGUCAAUGAAGCUAAAUAGUCUAUCUUCUAUGACUCUCUAUUCUAGCUCAGAGAUGCCCACAAAUGGAGCUCCAGGUUGUGAUGAGUCUGGUAAAGGAAAGGAACGGAUUCUGAGAGAGAGAAGUGGGGCAGGUGUGGAGCAGGCUUACUUUGUCCGGGGUGCUCUAAGCAGACCCUUCUGAGGUAGUACCAUUCAAGCUAAGAUCUAGAGUGCCAAGUAGACUCUUAAUGAGGUCAUUUCAGUAGCACGGGGUGAAGCGAGUCAAUUUACAUUUUAAAAAGAUGAUAUAAAAUAUGUAUAAAUAAAAUAGAUUAUGGGGGGCCAAAAUGGAUGUAGGGAGACCAAUUAAGAGGCUGUUAUGGUUGCCUUAAGAGUUGAUGGUGAUUUAGACAAGAAAUAGUAGAGAAAUAGAAAUGGACAGAUGGGGAAGUGUUUCAGGAUGUAAAUCAAUAGGAUUCAACAAUGGAUUGGAUGUAGUCGAGGGAAGGGGCUGGCAGUGGGGGGACAGUGGUCUUCCACAGGAGUGCCAGGCGUGACUGUAGCAAGAGGGUAGAGAGGAGACCCACUAUUGAGAUGGGGAAGAGAAGUGAGGAGAAUAUCUGAUGGUGGUGCUAAUGGGUAGGUCUGGACAUCAGGUUGGAACGUGUUUAGUUGGAGGAGCCCGUGAAAAUCCCUAGUGAAUAUUUCAGCUUCAUGGCCAUGUGCAGGCCCCUGUACUCUGAAGGAGUCUGUAUUAGGUUUAAUGCUCUGCCGUUGCUAUCUUGGAAUUCUUCAUUCUUUGGUCUUUGAACUUAUUUUUUUAAGUGAAGUCUGAUUGGACAGUGGAGCCCAGGUAUGAGCAGACUAAAUACACCUCAUGGGCUUAUCUGCUCUUCUUUGCCAUUCUACCCAUUCACAACUAGCAUUUGUGAUGUACCCUGAGCAUAAAUUCCUGGAGACUCGUGAUGCAAGGAGCUCAGGGAGACUCCAUGUAAGUCCUAGGUAGGCGUGCUUAGUUAAUGACUGUCCAGGGGACUUGAGGUGGACUGUGGGGAGGGGGGCACCGACACCUCCAAGGGUGUCAGAUAAGAACUUGCUCCAAGUACAAGACAGAAGCAAGAACCAAGCAACCUUGUCAUGUCCUCGCUGAGCUGAACAUGAAGAACCUCCUGCCUCCACAUAUUUUCAGGGACACGAACUUUUUCCUCCCAACAACCCUGUCAGAUCCCUUGGGAUUUCCUGUAUGAAUAAUCACAUCUUCUGUGAGUAGAAAUGAUUUUAUUUUGCAUGUAUGCUUCAUGUUUUUUUUUUUUUUUCCUCUCUGUAUUGCACUGGCUACACUUCCAGUGUGAUGACAAGGACAGUAAAGAGAAGACAUUGAGCUCUGUAUCUUUCUCCCAGUCUUACAGGGGGAAAAUCAUUAAUCUUUCCCCAUUAAAUAUGUUAGCUGUUGGUUUUUUGUAGAUGCUGUUUACCAGGUUAAGGAUGCUCCUUGCCUUCUACCCCUAGUUUACUGGGAGUUUUGUGUGAAUGAAUGGAGAACAGGCCUGAAUAGACAGUUCUCAAAAGAGGAAAUACAAAUGGUCAGCAAAUAUAUGGAAAAGGGCUCGAUAUCACUAGCCACUGGGGAAAUGCAAAUCAAAACCAGGAGGUAUCUCCUCACCCCUGUUAGAAAGACUAUUAUCAAAAAGAUGGGAAUGUUGAAUUUGUGAAUGCUUUUUUCUGAAUCUGAGAUAAUUAUGUAGGCCCUGUCUUCAGUCUUUUAGUGCAAUGAAUUAAAUUGACUGAUUUUCAAAGCUUAUUUAUUGAUUUUCACUUUCUUUAAUUUGAAAGAGACAGACAGACAGAAAGGCAGACAGUUGUCCUGUGUCUUCUGUUUCACUCUCCAUAUGCCCACAAUGUUGAGGGCUGGGCCAGGCAAAAGCCAGGAGCCCAGAACUCAGUGCGUGUCUCCCAUGUGUUUAGCAGGGACUCAAGGACUUGAGCCAUCACCUGCUGCCUCCCAGGGUGUGCAUUUACCCAUUUACCAGGAAUUGGAAGCAGAGGAGCUGAGACUCCAAUCUAGGAUGUGGGCAUGCGAAGAAGUGACUUAAGGGCUGCUCCAAAUGCCCACCCUGAUUUUCAAUAAUUGAACCAACUUUACAUUUCUAGGGUAAAUCUCCCUUGACUGAUAGAUAUAUUACACUUUUUAACAACAGCUUUGGGUUCGAAUUGUUAGUAUUUGUUGAGGAUUCUUUUCAUCUAUUAUUGUAAGGGAUAGUGACAACUGUAUUUUUGUGUGUUUAUGAGGAUAAGGUUAAACGCAUCAAGAUGGAAGAUUAAGAGAUGAUGGGUUCUGUUAUGAAAGCUGUUUGAAUAUAAUUACACUAGUAAUGAUUAUAAUGCUCAACACUAAUUAAGCACUUCCCAAUUGUCAGGUACUUUAAAUGUAUUCAUUUAUUUGCUUGCUGUCACCAUGCUAGGAGGUAAGUAGGAUUAUUAUCUCGCUUUUACAGAAAUCAGUACUUUUAGCCGAUAGUAUAUGUUGCCCAACAGUGCUUAUGCAUAAAUGACGUGACUUCUGCUCAGGGCACGAGUGGGGCCAAAUCUUCUGUGUUCUUCCACUGAAUUGUUCAGCUCCUCACUCGCAGGAAGUUCUGUGUCCCCCUCUGAGGCUUCUUCCCUGCCUGCCCUCAUCCAAAGGAUCAGAGAUCAACUAAAGGCUUAGUGAGUCCAAGGUGGUCAUCGGCUUCCAGACGCCAAGUGAAGAGUUUGGGAGAAGGUUGGGUCAGGUUUCUGUGCCUGCCUGACAGGGUGCUCAUGGAAUACAGGUCACGCGCAGCCUGGAGAAGAGUGUCCUACACUCCUGCUGCUCUUGGGGGACCUUGCGGGGCUUCCUUGGGCUCAUAUGUUUUUGUUUUUAAGAUUUAUUUAUUUAUUUGAAAGUCAGAGUUACAGAGAGAGAGAAAGAGAGAGAGAUCGAUCUUCCAUCUGCUAGUUCACUCCCCAAUUGGCUGCAAUGGCUGGAGCGGCACCUGAUCCGAAGCCAGGAGCCAGGAGCUUCUUCCAGGUCUCCCACGUGGGUGCAGGGGCCCAAGGACUUGGGCCAUCUUCUACUGCUUUCCCAGGCCAUAGCAGAGAGCUGAAUUGGAAGGUGGAGCAGCCGGGACUUGAACCGGCGCCCAUAUGGGAAGUCGGCACUGCAGACGGUGGCUUUACCCACUACGCCACUGCGUCAGCCCCAUAGGCUCAUAUGUUAUGCUGAAGUCCUCUGCUUGGGCAGAAUGGCAAGUCUAGAAGAACUUCUGGCUUUGGCCAUCAGCUCUGUAGGGACAGGCUAUUGGCAUGGACCUGUUAGGUCAGAGAGGCCUGGUCAUUAAUAACCAAAUGCUGAGAUUUUACGUGAAAAUAUUGUGGUUUCUCUUAUAAAAAAAAAAGUGAAGAUCUGGUUCCUCUCUCAGCAGCCCUCAGCUGGAUCUGACCGUUCAGUGGGCACAGACUCUCUGACACAGCUCACUUCCAAUUUUCUUCCAAUUGACCUGCUUAGCUUCUAAGCGCGUUAGGGCUUUCAAUUCAUACCCUGGGUCCUCACCCUGGGCUUGAGUCUUGUGUGUAUUCCUUUAAGGAAUAUUUAUCAAGUGCUUAAUGGACCAGUGGACAAUGCACAGGUAUUGUGCACUGAGCACUCCAAACUGAAUGGAACAGAUGAGAAUCCUGACUUGCAGAAGCCCAGUUCCCAGAGACAGUCCGUGAGCCCAGUAAGUAGGUCAUGUGAUCGUUAGAAUGUGAAAGGUGUUAGGGAGAAAAAUGAAAGCUGAGUGGCCACUUGGAAGUAAAAGACAAGUUGGGGUUGCAGGUAUCAGACUGUGCCUUGCAGGCCACAGGUGAGGAUGACGCUCAGGUGAGAACUGGAGAGGCGUUGGUGACCCAUUGUGUAUUGGAGGAAAGAACAUUCCAGGCAGCAGGAACAGAGACGGCCAAGGCCUAGAGUCUGCAACAGAGCUGAGCUGUCUGGGAAGGACAAGGAGAUGGUGUGGCUCCAGCAGCGUGGACAGAGAGCCGGAAGAGAUGAGGGAGAGCUGUCGGGGGUUGGGUCCAGCUCAUGUUGAACCUCCUUAGGUUUGGGAGGCAACAUCUUCCUCCUUUCUGUCAUUCCAGCCCAUUUACUGGGAGACCUGAGAAGCUGCUGGCUUUGAGUGAGAGGCGGAGCAGGAUUGGGCUCAGAAGCAGAUCCAGGUGCUGUACCAGCGACCCUGCCACCAGGGCCACAGAAUCCAGCAUAGCCAGUUCACGUGUCUGUGGCAGACAGGGAUGCUGUAUGGCCCUUACACAGGCCCCUAUGGGUGGGUCCUGGUGAGGGCCUUCAGAAUUUGGGAACAAGGCCCUGCCAUUAUUACAGGUGAUUAGUCUGUGUUUUGUUUUGUUUUAAGAUUUAUCCUUUUAUUUUGGAAGUCAGAGUUAUAUAUAGAGUGGGAGAGACAGAGAUAGAGAACAAGAGAGCGAGCGAGUGAGAGAGUGAGCGAGUGAGCAAGAGAGAGAGAGAAUCUUCCACCUGUGUCGCUCCCCCUCUUCAUGGAGGAACGACACUAAGCCCUGCCUAGGCUUCAUAUCCGAGUCACGGCACCAUUAUGUCGCUCCCCGUCUUCGUGGAGGAACGACACAGGACCCUGCGCUGUUCUGUCUGCU